CCUACGGGUGGCAGCAGUGGGGAAUAUUGCACAAUGGGCGAAACCCUGAUGCAGCGACGCCGCGUGAGUGAAGAAGUAUUUCGGUAUGUAAAGCUCUAUCAGCAGGGAAGAAAAUGACGGUACUUGAAUAAGAAGUCCCGGCUAACUCCGUGCCAGCAGCCGCGGUAAUACGUAGGGGGCAAGCGUUCUCCGGAUUUACUGGGUGGAAAGGUAGCGUAGACGGCCAGACAAGUCAGAAGUGAAAGCCCAGGGCUCAACCCUGGGACUGCUUUUGAAACUGGCGAGCUGGAGUGCAGGAGAGGGAGGCAGAAUUCCGGGUGUAGCGGUGAAAUGCGUAGAGAGUAGGAGGAACACCAGUGGCGAAGGCGGCUUACUGGACGGUAACUGACGUUGAGGUGCGAAAGCGUGGGGAGCAAACAGGAUUAGAUACCCUUGUAGUC
rnacentral:rRNA from 1 species